rnacentral:lncRNA from 1 species
UUGAGUAUACAGUGCUUUUCUGUUUCCUCGGACUUGACUUGAAGUAGGAGCGAGCAUCUGGGAACGAAUUAUUUAGCAUUUUUUCUCUUUUACCCUAAGGCCCCGUUUGAAUCAUUGGAAUUGAAUUCCAUCCUAAUAAUCAUAAUUUAGACACAAAUUAAUUAAGCUAAUAUAAUUGUAUGUGGAAUAUAGUUGUAUAUUAUAGUUGGUGAUAUGGGAGAGAUACUUGUAUGCUGCACUUCUACUAUAGAGAAGCGAGUCUAAGAGCGUGCUAUAAGAAUUGAAUUCCAUUCUAAUAACCAUAAUCUAUAGAAUCAAUUUCCAUCUCCC